rnacentral:rRNA from 1 species
GAGUUUGAUCCGGCUCAGAUUGAACGCUGGCGGCAGGCCUAACACAUGCAAGUCGAGCGGAUGACGGGAGCUUGCUCCUUGAUUCAGCGGCGGACGGGUGAGUAAUGCCUAGGAAUCUGCCUGGUAGUGGGGGACAACGUUUCGAAAGGAACGCUAAUACCGCAUACGUCCUACGGGAGAAAGCAGGGGACCUUCGGGCCUUGCGCUAUCAGAUGAGCCUAGGUCGGAUUAGCUAGUUGGUGGGGUAAUGGCUCACCAAGGCGACGAUCCGUAACUGGUCUGAGAGGAUGAUCAGUCACACUGGAACUGAGACACGGUCCAGACUCCUACGGGAGGCAGCAGUGGGAAUAUUGGACAAUGGGCGAAAGCCUGAUCCAGCCAUGCCGCGUGUGUGAAGAAGGUCUUCGGAUUGUAAAGCACUUUAAGUUGGGAGGAAGGGCAGUAAGUUAAUACCUUGCUGUUUUGACGUUACCGACAGAAUAAGCACCGGCUAACUCUGUGCCAGCCGCCGC